rnacentral:rRNA from 1 species
CUAGCGACUUCAGAGUUUGAUCCUGGCUCAGGACGAACGCUGGCGGCGUGCCUAACACAUGCAAGUCGAGCGAGAAUCUUUAGUUUGAUUCCUUCGGGGAUGAAGACUAAAGAGGAAAGCGGCGGACGGGUGAGUAACGCGUGAGUAACCUGCCUAUCAGAGGGGGACAACAGUUGGAAACGACUGCUAAUACCGCAUAACAUUAUGAAAUCGCAUGAUUUUGUAAUCAAAGAUUUAUCGCUGAUAGAUGGACUCGCGUCUGAUUAGAUAGUUGGUGGGGUAACGGCCUACCAAGUCGACGAUCAGUAGCCGAACUGAGAGGUUGAUCGGCCACAUUGGGACUGAGACACGGCCCAG